rnacentral:rRNA from 1 species
GACGAACGCUGGCGGCGUGCUUAACACAUGCAAGUCGAACGGAAAGGCCCUGCUUUUGUGGGGUGCUCGAGUGGCGAACGGGUGAGUAACACGUGAGUAACCUGCCCUUGACUUUGGGAUAACUUCAGGAAACUGGGGCUAAUACCGGAUAGGAGCUCCUGCUGCAUGGUGGGGGUUGGAAAGUUUCGGCGGUUGGGGAUGGACUCGCGGCUUAUCAGCUUGUUGGUGGGGUAGUUGCUUACCAAGGCUUUGACGGGUAGCCGGCCUGAGAGGGUGACCGGCCACAUUGGGACUGCGAUACGGCCCAGACUCCUACGGGGGGCAGCAGUGGGGAACAUUGCACAAUGGGCGGAAGCCUGAUGCAGCAACGCCGCGUGCGGGAUGACGGCCUUCGGGGUGUAAACCGCUUUCGCCUGUGACGAAGCGUGAGUGACGGUAAUGGGUAAAGAAGCACCGGCUAACUACGUG